AGCAGCCGCGGUAAUUCCAGCUCCAAUAGCGUAUAUUAAAGUUGUUGCAGUUAAAAAGCUCGUAGUUGAAUUUCGGGAUUCUACCGUUGGUCGGGCUAACAAGUCUGUACUGGUGUGUAGAAUUUCUACCUUCUGGGGAACUAUCAUGUUAUUAAUUUAGCGUGGUGGGAAACCAGGACCUUUACCUUGAAAAAAUUAGAGUGUUCAAAGCAGGCUUACGUCUGAAUACAUUAGCAUGGAAUAAUAGAAUAGGACGGUGGUCCUGUUUUGUUGGUUUCUGAAUCACCGUAAUGAUUAAUAGGGAUAGUUGGGGGCAUUAGUAUUCAAUUGUCAGAGGUGAAAUUCUUGGAUUUAUUGAAGACUAACUUCUGCGAAAGCAUUUGCCAAGGAUGUUUUCAUUAAUCAAGAACGAAAGUUAGGGGAUCGAAGACGAUCAGAUACCGUCGUAGUCUUAACCAUAAACUAUGCCGACUAGGGAUCGGACGAUGUUAAAUUUUAUUGACUCG
rnacentral:rRNA from 2 species